rnacentral:lncRNA from 1 species
UGAAAUGCUUCGGCUGAAAGGCUGAGAUCCGUUCGUGAUGCUCAUCCCGGCUGGACACGAGAUAUCCGGAUGCGAGAGAGGUUGGUUUCGUUCAUGGGAUACGGGAGGAAAGGAAGACGGUUGGGAUUGAUUCGGAAGAGAUUAUCCCCGAAACAGGGGAAUGGAAGAAACUUGGUUUGAUUCAGAAGAGAUGAAGCUGGGAGAUGAGUGGAUCACGGGAGGAUGAACUUGAUUCGGUUGAGAACAAGAUCUUUGGAUGCUCACGGAAUGGGAAGAGAUCUUUGGGUGAUGCAGAUGAAAUCUGGGAGGAGGUGUCGUGGAAGAUGAACACGGAAUGGACUCGGUUCUGGUUGAAUAUCGUAGAACAGGGGAGUUGGGAUUUACGGAAUGCUGGGAACGAACUCUGUUUUGAGGCAAGGUUUUAGAUGAAUGUCUUCAAUGCAUGGGAGCUGGGAAGGGAUGGUUCCGGAGGGA